AGUCCAUGGUGUCGGCAUUUUCUUAGCAUCGUCUUCAAUUGCUCCCACGCCUCGUAUAGGGUUUCACUUUCGAAUUCUUUAAAAUUUGUGAUUUCCUGCUGUAGCU
rfam:Gossypium arboreum cultivar AKA8401 contig_1636_19, whole genome shotgun sequence.